GACGAACGCUGGCGGCGUGCUUAACACAUGCAAGUCGAACGGUGAUGCUCCAGCUUGCUGGCGUGGAUCAGUGGCGAACGGGUGAGUAACACGUGAGCAACCUGCCCCAGACUCUGGAAUAAGCGCUGGAAACGGCGUCUAAUACUGGAUACGAAACUGGCCCGCAUGGGCAUGGUUUGGAAAGUUUUUCGGUUUGGGGUGGGCUCGCGGCCUAUCAGCUUGUUGGUGAGGUAAUGGCUCACCAAGGCGACGACGGGUAGCCGGCCUGAGAGGGCGACCGGCCACACUGGGACUGAGACACGGCCCAGACUCCUACGGGAGGCAGCAGUGGGGAAUAUUGCACAAUGGGCGAAAGCCUGAUGCAGCGACGCCGCGUGAGGGAUGACGGCCUUCGGGUUGUAAACCUCUUUCAGCAGGGAAGAAGCGAAAGUGACGGUACCUGCAGAAGAAGCACCGGCUAACUACGUG
rnacentral:rRNA from 1 species